UACGUAGGGUGCAAGCGUUAAUCGGAAUUACUGGGCGUAAAGCGUGCGCAGGCGGUUUUGUAAGUCUGACGUGAAAUCCCCGGGCUCAACCCGGGAAUUGCGUUGGAGACUGCAAGGCUUGAAUCUGGCAGAGGGGGGUAGAAUUCCACGUGUAGCAGUGAAAUGCGUAGAGAUGUGGAGGAACACCGAUGGCGAAGGCAGCCCCCUGGGUCAAGAUUGACGCUCAUGCACGAAAGCGUGGGGAGCAAACAGG
rnacentral:rRNA from 1 species